UACGUAGGGUGCGAGCGUUAAUCGGAAUUACUGGGCGUAAAGCGUGCGCAGGCGGUUUUGUAAGCCAGAUGUGAAAUCCCCGGGCUUAACCUGGGAAUGGCAUUUGGGACUGCAAGGCUUGAGUUUGGCAGAGGAGACUGGAAUUCCUGGUGUAGCAGUGAAAUGCGUAGAUAUCAGGAGGAAUACCGAUGGCGAAGGCGGCAUCCUGGACCGACACUGACACUGAGGAGCGAAAGCCAGGGAGCAAAGCGGG
rnacentral:rRNA from 1 species